GUACCGGAACUGGGACCGUGGCGAACCUAACAAUGCACAUAGUAGGUUGGGUGAAGACUGCGUUGAGUUGAAAUGGACAGGAAAAUGGAACGACGUGCCAUGGACCUGGGGAUACCGAUACAUCUGCCAAGUCAAACUACCACGUGGGCACUAUUGAGUGCAUGGAUCGACGUCACCAGUUGUUGAUGAAAGAAAGAAACAAGAAAUCUAUUGACAAAUAAUCGACGUCCAAAAGAUUUUUUUUUCAAAUAACUAAAAUCUCAUAAAAUGUUCACAUAUAUUCGGGAGUUAAAUCGUAUACAAGCUAUUAUAACCUAGGUCUAUGUUUUUAUCAAAUAUUCUAAUCGCAUUAUUUCAUAGCUAUAGUAUAUCCGCUGAGAAAGUAGUCUUAUAAACGAACAGCCCACAUUCUACACUUCAUCUCACAUUCUAAUAACAGUUAAAGCCAAACAUCGUUUGACAAAGCAACAGCACAUUUCAUCCUGAAAAAUAUGCAAUGGAUGUUUUUAUGUUUAAAACAAAGAAUGAGAGUCCACAAACUCUCCAACCUUCCUUAUAAUAUGACUUUCCAAUCGAAACAGCCCUACAGCGUACAUCAGUGCAUGGUAAGUUCUUCUCUGUAACUAUUUCGUGUUGAAUACUUAACCAAUAUAUUUUAAUAGCCAUGAUAUUCUAGGCCAACAACUACGUAUACAGGCCAGCACGGAUUGUGAGAGCUGUUGUGUGCAGCGGAUAUAUACAAACUCGAAUUGUCCAUGGCUUUACCUAACGUGCCCCAGUGUGUAUAAAUCAAAUAUAAUAUUCAGUUUAAGAAGUUUUAUCACCAUGAUAUCAAUCUAUUAUAUUAUAUAUAUAGAUAACGACAAUCGGAUGCCAUACCAUCAUAUCAAUAUGCAUAUGCCAUGAAACGAUAGUCACUCUAUGAAAGUUAGAGUCAAUACAGCAUGGUACAGUUGUUUGGUAUUACUACAAGGGCCGCAGUUUUUUUGCCGCAGGUGCCGGGGCAUCAUUUACGAAAGUUUGGGCCUUACAAUAAUCGAAACAGUACAUUACAACAUUUGAUGCUGAAACAAGCUAUCAGUCAGAUUGUUUGAAUUGCAUUUGAAAACCACUUUACUAAGCAUUAAUGAGAAUUAUUAUUUUAUAAACCGCAGCAAUCUCAUUAAACAUGACUGUGUACCAGUUGCUGGUCAUAUAUGUGACUCAUUUAACAAUUAUGUAUUCCUUUUCUUUCCAAGUAUUUACCCAUAUAUCCAUAAGUAACGUUAAGUGAAGCAUAGACCCCAGGUCUGUACAGUUGAAUGUCUUAAUACCACUGAAGAUCUUCAGAAGAAAACAUUUGAGGUCACCUUCCGCACAUACUCUGUUGACACUAAGAUCUGUAUGCAACUCUUAUGUGUUGGAAGAAUAUUCAAUGUUAAUUAAACCAUUUUUAGUCUGUAACUGGAAGACAAUAUUAACUGUACGCAAAUGACUGCCGGCAGAUUUGUGACGACGCAUAAUUGUUCCAAGAAGUUAAGGAGCUGAUCCAUGUCGAAACGAAUGCAACUAUUGAUAUGCAAAGAAAAUGCUAUGUGGUAACAAGUCAAAGUGCACGAUUAUGUGAACUGUUGUGGGCUUAAACAUGAACUAAUAGAGAAAUCUGAUACUAUGACAUCAUUUCAAGAAAGAUCAGUAAACAAUAGCAUGGUUGUUGCUUUUCCCCUCAGAAAAAUUAGAAAACCAGUAACGAAUGCGUCAAGCAGGGUUUCCAUGUCGUCAAAUUUGCAGUCUGUCAUUAUGACCUGGUGAUAUCAUAGAAAAAUUCAAUUUUUUGGGUACUUUUUACAAUAAACUUGAAUGGUGGUGGUUAAAUGUG